CUGUCAAGGUAGAUGGCCUAAGGACCUGGAUCCACGCUUCCCACGUCAAAGCAGCUAACCUGACCAAGGAGGACAAGUGGAAGGUGGUGCAAUCUGGUGAUGACCCACUAAAAUGGACAUUUGUAAAACAUUUGAACUAGCCUGUCGGAUUUAAGGUUGGCUCUUGAC